CUUUCGCAACCUCGUUACUUCCCAAGUUGUGCAAGUACUGAGGUAGUAGUAUAUUGUACUCAUUCGCGUUACUUUGCGUAAUAGUCAUCAUAAUCCUGAUAGUUAAAUGCAGAAGUUUCGGUGCAGAAUAACGAUUCGUCUCCCUUGUUGUCACUAGUGUUUCACACACUUCUGAAGUCAGUUGGAACAAAGCUUUUCAUCUAAUUUUCUGCAUAAUGAGUUAUCAAGGAAACUACACUCAGGCACCCCCACCUGCUGGAUAUUAUCCGGGAAAUACAUACUAUCCACCACCCCAACCUCAAGCUGGCGCUUACUACCCUCCUCCUCAACAGCAGGGUGGCUACUAUCCUCCUCCCCAACCAUCAGGAGAAUAUCUUCCCCAAGGACAACAACCCGUUCCUUCUACCGUAAUUGUGAGAGAAGAAAAAAAAGACACCUGUGGGAGAGACUGCUGUUUGUGUGCUUUGUGUCUUGCGCUGUGUUGUUUCUGUUGCAGUGACUAAAAAUCCUCGGUUCCAAAAGUCGACGCCACUCUAGAGUUAACAAAAAUAUGUGUAAUAUAUGAACAAAGUUUCAGGCAUAUGAAGUCUUGUGGAAAUGAGGGAAUGUGUCCUUCGUACAUGCUAAAAUUCAUUUGGAGAAUACAGAUAUUGUGAUUUACACUAUUCUGAACAUUUUCGCUCAAGAUUUUCUCAGACGUUUUUAGCCUUGAAAGAAGUGCGUAAUAUAGGCUUAAUACCUUCUGAACUUAUUACUGGUAGGAUAGAUAACCUGAAAAUGUUUUCUGUUUAAUUACACAUUUUAGAUACAUUUGAUGUUUUCUCGGUUAUCCGUAGCUCUUGUAUAAAUUAUCUCAAUCUAUCGUAUUUUGAAAAAUUGGACCACAGAUCAACUGAAAUGUUUAUAAUUUGUACAGCUAUUGUUCAUUUUUAUACAUUUGUAAUUUGUUUAAACAAUUUUAGAAUAAUGGUUUUUGAUGUAGAAUUAUUGCGAGGUCAACAUUGUACUGUGUUAUUAACUUUUACAUAAUUAGUUUGAAAAAUUAAAGCGAUAAAUCUUGAACUAUAAAACUUAAGUUUCCAAAAUUUAACGAGUAUCAAACACGCGAAGAGUUUUUCGUUAUUGUUUUCUAUGGCCUACAAAAAAGAAAAUAAUUACGUUUGUAUGUUUUAAUGAUAGAAAUAUAAAAACCAACAUUUGAACAAGA